CCUAACACAUGCAAGUCGAGCGGUAGCACAGAGAGCUUGCUCUCGGGUGACGAGCGGCGGACGGGUGAGUAAUGUCUGGGAAACUGCCUGAUGGAGGGGGAUAACUACUGGAAACGGUAGCUAAUACCGCAUAACGUCGCAAGACCAAAGUGGGGGACCUUCGGGCCUCAUGCCAUCAGAUGUGCCCAGAUGGGAUUAGCUGGUAGGUGGGGUAACGGCUCACCUAGGCGACGAUCCCUAGCUGGUCUGAAAGGAUGACCAGCCACACUGGAACUGAGACACGGUCCAGACUCCUACGGGAGGCAGCAGUGGGGAAUAUUGCACAAUGGGCGCAAGCCUGAUGCAGCCAUGCCGCGUGUGUGAAGAAGGCCUUCGGGUUGUAAAGCACUUUCAGCGGGGAGGAAGGCAGUGAGGUUAAUAACCUUAUCGAUGAAGUU
rnacentral:rRNA from 1 species